GAAAAAACCCCGCACAUUUUGUGAAAGCUGUUAUUCAGUUUUUGUGUUUGCCUAACAUCAUAAGUAGCAUUGCGCUUUCUUAUUUAUUCUAUCAUCACAAUCAAGUAGCCUAAUUUCUCCUCAUAUGCUGCAAAUGGUUACUUUUUCUUCUGCAUGGCCAGUAGGGGGAGUUAGUGGUCCACACCUCGGUUGAGCCCAGUGAAAAUGGAAGUCAAACACGGCCUGACAGUUCUCAGCGCUGAGAAUUAAUAUGUUGUUUUGAAUCGCUUGAAUGUCAUUCGCUGACAGAAAGAACAUCUGGUGCAACCUUUGUCAAAUUAAGACAUGGUGUCCCUCUCUAAAUUCCUCCAGAAGGCUUCUCGGGAACAUAAUAGGCAAACUGUUGUUCGGCUCCUAGUGAGAGAUCAGAGCUGGAACACAAAUAUUUUAACAUCUUUUUUUUCCCUCUUUUUUUUUUUUUGAUUGAAGAGGCGCUAAAGUAAGCUUAUCAUUAUUAAGACAAAUAAUGUGCCUGACACCGAUUUGACACAUUUUGAAGGUUAACUGCUCCAUCCCUUUCUCCUGCGGUUGAUGGUGUGCCCGUGAAAGUGGUGACUCUGUCAUAUCUAUUGGAAGUUUUGUCAGACUCUAUCAUGCACAGCAUCCGUGACCUUGACCACCAAAUCAUCACUCUAAGAAAAAAAUUUUUUUUAAAAACCCAAAUUGAAAAACAUGAAGAUUACAAAAUAGUUAAUGGUCUGGCACACAGGUGCUAUUCUUUGCUAAGCUCCUGAGAUCUAUUUGUUCUUUUGCUGUGUUUGUUUUUCUAUCUGCCAACCCGUCCAGCCAUCCACUCAUCCAUUCAUCCGUCCAUCUUGCAAAUCCUCGUCUGUUUCGUUCUGUGUUGUUGUUGAGCGAGAGGCUGUUUCCAUGAACUUACAAUCUGAAGGUUGCAAAGAUUUGACUCCUUUUUUUUCAUACCUCCCUGAAAAGCAGCGUAGAUUAUACAGCCUACAGCUUUUAUCACAUGUAUGC
ensembl:lncRNA